rnacentral:lncRNA from 1 species
GGACAGCAGCCUGCUUCAGAUGCGGGCAAGAGGGACACAUGGCUCGGGAGUGUCCUAGGGCAGCUUUUGGAGCACAGUCUCAGCAGACGGCUUCUGGCAGUGUGGCUCAACCAGCAGCUCCAGCCAUGACUCAGGCCAGUGGCAGAGGUAGAGGAAGAGGGGCAGCCUCUUCGUCAGUGGGUUUUAGAGGUGAAGGUCCAUCAGCUCCAGCACGGAUCUUCACGAUGACUCAG